GACGAACGCUGGCGGCGUGCUUAACACAUGCAAGUCGAACGGAGAGGCCCUGCUUUUGUGGGGUGCUCGAGUGGCGAACGGGUGAGUAACACGUGAGUAACCUGCCCUUGACUUUGGGAUAACUUCAGGAAACUGGGGCUAAUACUGGAUAGGAGCUCCUGCUGCAUGGUGGGGGUUGGAAAGUUUCGGCGGUUGGGGAUGGACUCGCGGCUUAUCAGCUUGUUGGUGGGGUAGUGGCUUACCAAGGCUUUGACGGGUAGCCGGCCUGAGAGGGUGACCGGCCACAUUGGGACUGAGAUACGGCCCAGACUCCUACGGGAGGCAGCAGUGGGGAAUAUUGCACAAUGGGCGGAAGCCUGAUGCAGCAGCGCCGCGUGCGGGAUGACGGCCUUCGGGUUGUAAACCGCUUUCGCCUGUGACGAAGCGUGAGUGACGGUAAUGGGUAAAGAAGCACCGGCUAACUACGUG
rnacentral:rRNA from 1 species